UACGUAGGGUGCGAGCGUUGUCCGGAAUUAUUGGGCGUAAAGAGCUUGUAGGCGGUUUGUCGCGUCUGCCGUGAAAACCCGGGGCUCAACUCCGGGCCUGCAUUCGAUACGGGCAGACUAGAGUUCGGUAGGGGAGACUGGAAUUCCUGGUGUAGCGGUGAAAUGCGCAGAUAUCAGGAGGAACACCGGUGGCGAAGGCGGGUCUCUGGGCCGAUACUGACGCUGAGGAGCGAAAGCGUGGGGAGCGAACAGG
rnacentral:rRNA from 1 species